rnacentral:rRNA from 1 species
GCCUAUGAACAACUCACCCCAGAAUGUGCUCAACCUUGUCAGGUCUCGGAAGCUAAGCAGGGGUUGACUCUGGUGAGUGCUUGGAUGGGUGACCAGCAUGCACACCACGUGGUCAUAAGCA